ACGAACGCUGGCGGCGUGCCUAAUACAUGCAAGUAGAACGCUGAAGAGAGGAGCUUGCUCUUCUUGGAUGAGUUGCGAACGGGUGAGUAACGCGUAGGUAACCUGCCUUGUAGCGGGGGAUAACUAUUGGAAACGAUAGCUAAUACCGCAUAACAAUGGAUGACACAUGUCAUUUAUUUGAAAGGGGCAAUUGCUCCACUACAAGAUGGACCUGCGUUGUAUUAGCUAGUAGGUGAGGUAAUGGCUCACCUAGGCGACGAUACAUAGCCGACCUGAGAGGGUGAUCGGCCACACUGGGACUGAGACACGGCCCAGACUCCUACGGGAGGCAGCAGUAGGGAAUCUUCGGCAAUGGGGGCAACCCUGACCGAGCAACGCCGCGUGAGUGAAGAAGGUUUUCGGAUCGUAAAGCUCUGUUGUAAGUCAAGAACGGGUGUGAGAGUGGAAAGUUCACACUGUGACGGUAGCUUACCAGAAAGGGACGGCUAACUACGUGCCAGCAGCCGCGGUAAUACGUAGGUCCCGAGCGUUGUCCGGAUUUAUUGGGCGUAAAGCGAGCGCAGGCGGUUUGAUAAGUCUGAAGUUAAAGGCUGUGGCUCAACCAUAGUUCGCUUUGGAAACUGUCAAACUUGAGUGCAGAAGGGGAGAGUGGAAUUCCAUGUGUAGCGGUGAAAUGCGUAGAUAUAUGGAGGAACACCGGUGGCGAAAGCGGCUCUCUGGUCUGUAACUGACGCUGAGGCUCGAAAGCGUGGGGAGCGAACAGGAUUAGAUACCCUGGUAGUCCACGCCGUAAACGAUGAGUGCUAGGUGUUGGAUCCUUUCAGGGAUUCAGUGCCGCAGCUAACGCAUUAAGCACUCCGCCUGGGGAGUACGACCGCAAGGUUGAAACUCAAAGGAAUUGACGGGGGCCCGCACAAGCGGUGGAGCAUGUGGUUUAAUUCGAAGCAACGCGAAGAACCUUACCAGGUCUUGACAUCCCGAUGCUAUUUCUAGAGAUAGAAAGUUACUUCGGUACAUCGGUGACAGGUGGUGCAUGGUUGUCGUCAGCUCGUGUCGUGAGAUGUUGGGUUAAGUCCCGCAACGAGCGCAACCCUUAUUGUUAGUUGCCAUCAUUUAGUUGGGCACUCUAGCAAGACUGCCGGUGACAAACCGGAGGAAGGUGGGGAUGACGUCAAAUCAUCAUGCCCCUUAUGACCUGGGCUACACACGUGCUACAAUGGUUGGUACAACGAGUUGCGAGUCGGUGACGGCGAGCUAAUCUCUUAAAGCCAAUCUCAGUUCGGAUUGUAGGCUGCAACUCGCCUACAUGAAGUCGGAAUCGCUAGUAAUCGCGGAUCAGCACGCCGCGGUGAAUACGUUCCCGGGCCUUGUACACACCGCCCGUCACACCACGAGAGUUUGUAACACCCGAAGUCGGUGAGGUAACCUUUUGGAGCCAGCCGCCUAAGGUGGGACAGAUGAUUGGGGUG
rnacentral:rRNA from 1 species